AAAAUUAGUUUUAGUUACUGUAGUAAUGAUGUAAUUUUACCAUACUGUAGUCCUACUCACUGUAGUUGUAAGUUAUCAUAGUGGUAAUACCAGAUGGAGCAGAGUGGAAGUGAAGUAUUAGUAAGGUAGGCAACAAUGUGUAAAACUGGUGUUAAUUUUCAAUAAUGUCCUGAAUGAUAAAACAGGGUAAAAGAGUUUGACUGAAGAUAUGAAAUCUUGGUGUAUAAAACUUAGAAGUAAUAUUUACCUAUCAUUUAUGUUUUGAAUCUGCUUUAGUAACCUUAAAACUUUUGAAAUUAAACGUUUAGAAUCUGUUUUCUGUUCGUAUAAUGAUAAGAAGGAAAUUUUGUUGGUAACUUAAUAUUUAAUAUCAAAUUUAACAAGUUCCCAAAUUUUGCAUUUGUUUUUUUAAGGUAGUACAUUCAAGUUAUUUUCUUUCUUUAAAAUAAUCACAAUUUUAAUGUAUUCCUUUAACUAUUCUAGCUCUAAUUCACAGUUCAAAUUAAUGUUCUAGAUACAGGCUUAUUAGAUUUUUACGUGCAAUAUCUUAUGAAGUCAGAAAUAACAGUAAUAUCUAUCAAUUCUGUUACUAUGAUUUUAUCUAACUACUUCAAAUUUUUGUUGCUUUUACAAAUAUAUUUAUCAUCUAUACUGCAACCGAUUAAAUAGAUACAUCACUGUUGUUUAUUUUGUCGUCAUCUAUAAUACAUUGUAAGACAACUAGUUUAACAUGAAAGAUUGGAAAUUUAGGUUCUUGGAAAAGUUAAGGAGUGAAGUAGUUUUACUUUUUUCACCAAAACCUUUUGAACAGUUUGGAGUUUUCUGUUUUUUUUUACUUCUACAUAUAUUAAAGUAAUUGACUUUUUUAUAUCAUUUAAAUAUUAGGUAAAUAGCUUGAGUUUUUUUUUCAAAACAUGUCUUUUCAUUUUGUAAUAGCGUGAUGUGUUUAACUUACUUCUUAUACAUGCUGCUCUGAAGUCUGCCAACAGGUACCAUCACUCCCUUGCCCAGAGUCUUUUGUAUGAACGAAAAGCUUUGAAAGAAGCAUCUGGAAUAACAGAUCGUCUCAUGGCAAGAGCUUUAGCCUCCCAUAAGGCAUGAGUUCCAUUUAAACAGCAGAUAUCUAUUUACUGUUCACAACUUUUGAAUUUAUUUUUAAAAAAUAUGAGUUUUUGAGAAUUUUUAGAAUAAAACUAUUUUUGAUCUAUAUCUUUUAAUAAUGUUUUUACAAACAAAUAUAUUUGUAAUUUUAUAAAGUUGAAGUUUGUCUUAUCAGUUUCUUUAUGUCAGUAAAUUUUAUCCCUCAAGGUACUCUACAGCUACUUCCAAGCAUAAUUGAAACAUUCAAUUUGUAAACUCAUUAGAUUUCUUUAGUUUGUAUUGUGUUUUAGUAUUUAUAAUGCAUAAUAGUAUGAUUUGUACAUUUUGAUAAUAAAGACAGAAAAAAAUAGUU